rnacentral:rRNA from 1 species
GAAUUGUUCGCAAUGGGCGCAAGCCUGACGACGCAACGCCGCGUGGAGGACGAAGAUCUUCGGGUCGUAAACUCCUGUCGAGCGGGACGAACACCAUGCGGGUGAACAAUCCGCGUGGCUGACGGUACCGCUAAAGGAAGCCCCGGCUAACCCCGCGCCAGCAGCCGCGGUAAUACGGGGGGGGCAAGCGUUGUUCGGAAUUAAUGGGCGUAAAGGGCUCGUAGGUUGCCAACUAAGUCAGACGUGAAAUCCCUCGGCUCAACCGGGGAACUGCGUCUGAUACUGGAUGGCUUGAAUCCGGGAGAGGGAUGCGGAAUUCCAGGUGUAGCGGUGAAAUGCGUAGAUAUCUGGAGGAACACCGGUGGCGAAGGCGGCAUCCUGGACCGGUAUUGACACUGAGGAGCGAAAGCCAGGGGAGCAAACGGG